rfam:Rattus norvegicus chromosome 18, whole genome shotgun sequence.
GGGUCUUCACAUGUUCCCUUCCCUUCUUAUUACAUUAGGGCCUCCUGUGGUUUCCUCUGAAAUAUGCCCAUUCGUUGGAAGAAGAUGACCUUCCCCAAUGUAGAAAGACUGUUCUUUGGUUGAGGGUAUAGGAGGAGUUGCCCAACUCACUAGAACCUCUAAGCACUCUCUUGAAGUUAAUUUGUAGGAGAAAGUGGUUAAGGCUCCAGACACAGACAAAUGAGAUGUUACAUGUAGCAAUCUGACUGUCUUG